GUGGGGAAUUUUGGACAAUGGGGGCAACCCUGAUGGAGCGACGCCGCGUGGAGGAUAAGGUCUUCGGAUUGUAAACUCCUGUCAUGCGUGAACAAGGUUGCUUGGUUAAUACCUGGGCAAAUUGAUGGUAACGCAAGAGGAAGAGACGGCUAACUCUGUGCCAGCAGCCGCGGUAAUACAGAGGUCUCAGGCGUUGUUCGGAAUCACUGGGCGUAAAGGGUGCGUAGGUGGCGUGGUAAGUAAGAUGUGAAAGCCCGGGGCUCAACCUCGGAACUGCAUCCGAUACUGGCAUGCUAGAGUACUGGAGAGGUGACUAGAAUUCUCGGUGUAGCAGUGAAAUGCGUAGAUAUCGAGAGGAAUACCAAAGGCGUAGGCAGGUCACUGGACAGUUACUGACACUGAGGCACGAAGGCCAGGGGAGCGAACGGGAUUAGAAACCCGUGUAGUCC
rnacentral:rRNA from 1 species